GAGACAAAAUAAUUCAAGACUCUACAAUUAGGCAUUGCAAUUUUAAUUACAUUGUAAAUUAGUAGUCUAGAAAGCUUUUAUUAAACUUGAGCACAUUGGACCAUUGUUGGCAAAUAUUUAUGAUGGGCCCAAGUUGUAGGACACUUGGCAACUUUAGGGUUUUUGGGUGGACCCCACCCAACCUUAAAUGAGGACACAUGGCCCUAGGGAUUCCAAGAUUCCACUAACCAACAUUUUCUAGGGAAGCAGCCGUCACACUUGGACACAUUCAUUUUCUCGGUAGAAAAAUUUUAGGGGCUGUAACGUUUUUUUUCUCUAGGCUGGGAACAUGGUCUCGGUAAUGGGAAUUGGAUGAGUGAAAGGGAUUUUUUCUUUUCUUUUAUGGUUGAAUGAAGCACUUUUAUUUUUUUUUAUUUUAUUUAUGGAGCCUUGUAUUACUUCUCUUUGCUGGAACGUGAAUCAAGCUUGGGAGUGUUGGUUUCUCUCUUUUAAAUGAAUGCAAAGUACCGGCCUUGAUGCAAGUUUAAUUUUUUUNN
rnacentral:lncRNA from 1 species